CCACAGGGCGUGCCGGGAGGGAAGAGCCGGGGUUACGCACCCGGGAGAGUCCGCAGAGCUCCGCUGCCUCCCAGGUAGCUUGGUUGAAAGUAACAGAAUCUCAGAUAUUUAAAUAAAAUACCUGGAGUCUAAAAGAAUUAGAAUCUUCUAGCUUGCCUGGCUUACUUCAGUGCUGCAAGCCAUGUAUACAACCAGCGUUAAUUUCAAGGGUAUUUCUACCACAAAGUGAGAAAAAUGAGUCGUGUGUUGUAGGCAGUGAAAGUGAGGUGAAGUCUCAGCUCAGAGGAUGAGUGCUCAUUCUGCACCUGCGCUAGAGCUCACCUGUGUUGCUCUGUGUCUCUGCCUCUGCCUGAGCACCCUGCUCACCAUUCUCCUCCCACUGCCCGCCCCGUUCCUUUGUCUCCUCGGAGCCACCAACAACGGGAUCUGCUGGAGUUUGGAAACCUGGGAUGGAUGGAGGGCGGGAGCUGCCGUACCUUUUCUGAAAAACAUUGAAUAGAAAAUCAUCUGGAUAUAGAAGAGAAAGGUUCUUCACCCACUUUCACAUGAAUACGUGUGCAAGGAGAGAAAAAUAGUGAGUGAGAAGGGUAUUUUCUGCUAAUGGGAUACAUUAACGUUGCCAUGGAAUUUGGGAUCAGCAUGCACAGGGUAUUGAUCUUAAACCUCCUUCUGAGCUACAAGGAUGAGGAGGACAUGCUAAUUUACUUACUUUUGACAUCAGCCCAGAACUACACAUGUAUAGGGAAAACCUAAGGAUAGGAUGGAUGGCAAAAAAGCCUCUUUGUCAGAAUCACAGAAUUAUUCACUUGGGAUGGAGUGUAGGAGGUUUCCUAGUGCAAACUGCUCAGAUCAGGGUCAACCCUGAAAUCACAUCAGUUUGUUGAGGAUGUGAUGCAGAGAAGUUUUGAAAACCUGCAAGGAUUAAGAUUCCCCAAUCUCUCUGGGCAACCUGUUUCAGUGCUUAAAUAUCCUAAAAAAAAAAAAAAGAGGAUAAAUAAUCUGUGGUCUCCUCCAGGACACUUGACAGGUAUUCCAUGGCUUAGGUCUAAGGGUAGAUGCCCAAGGAAUGCCAAGGUGAGCAGCUGCCAGGGGGAGUAGGACUCGUUAGCCCUUGGGCCUGGCAGGAGAUGUUCAUUCCUUUUGCAGUGUGCCCAUCCACACUGUAACAUUCCAGCUUGGAUACGAGGCUGCUGUGGAGACCAUGGGGAAAGAAAGCCCUGCUGAAGGCAAGGUAGGCAACACCUACGGCUCUGCCUUUGGCUGCACAUCUUCCAGGGCAUCACAGAAGGUCAGCCUGGGCAAACCUUGGAAAAGCCGUGCUGGAUACUACUUCUAAUCACCUUUCUUUCUUCAGGAAUGCCUCCUGCAGACUUGGCAGCAUUAUUGUCCCAAAGGACAAGCAGUAGUUCCCUGGAUCAUUCUUCCAUUUCUUAGUGUGAUGGGCUUUUGAAUAGAUUUAAGUGAAACCAGGCUUUCACUUCACAUUUAAAAGAUUUGACAUAGUCCACAGUGAUAUCCUCCUUAUAAACUGGGACGAAAAGUCUGUAAACAAUUAUUGAUCUCCACAUGCUACUGGGGAAAUUUUCCAAGAUCAGUGACAGCUGGGAAAUCACUGGCAUUUUAAAAUUAUAUAUCAGUGAUUCACUUUUUUUGGCAUUUACAGUAUUGCAUUAUGGCAAUGAACAUACUAGAUGUGUAUUUAAAAAGCCAGACUGCCUUUAGCAUUUUAGUAUUUUUUGUUUGAGCUGUAUUACAGAUGAAAAUUUAUUGAUACAAUUCAAAAUAAUGGGUUUGUUUUUUAAAGAUACAUACCCAUUAAGAAGAAGUUAAAAUGAGGAAAAUGCUUCUUUGUGUGAAAAUAAUUCUGCUUUUUCAACAACAGCAUCUCCUGAGUUUCUUCGAUUCAUACCUGAUUAAUGACUAAACUAGACUUUAACUCCUGUAAACACUGUAGAAUGCAGAGAGCUAUAGAAAAGUAAAAUGUAUUUUGCCCUCCUCAGUCAUUGUUUACACAGUCCUCAGUUACAUUUUAUUCUGGAAUUAUUUGCAAGAGAGAGGUUUGGUUUCAAGUCAUUGUCCCAUAUAAGAUUGCCAAAGCCUCUGGUCAGUCACUGAGCUGUCUUAAUUUGAGAGGAGGAGCUGGGUGCUCACCCACAAAAGGGCACAGCUACAUGAAAGGAAAAUAUUUAUUAGGUAAAACAAUACUAAAAUCACCUCUUUGCUGGAGAAUAAAAAAUGUGUGGUGAUCCCAAGCUUGUUCUGUGCUGCUGGGCAGGAGGGACUUCAUAAUAACCCAGUGAUUCCUCUGGCUGAUGAGGGAUCUGCUGUGACGCAUUCUGAAGGAUGCUGCAUAUGCCUUGGCUGGGAAAAUGAUGUUUUCUUUGUGCUGGUCGAGGCUAGAAAAGAAGGGGAAAUGGUGGGAGUGGUGACUCGGGUGAUCUUUAGAGGAAAAAAUAAUGCAAAUAAGGAUUGAAGAUGAGCUCUGCAUACUUCCAGGUUUGAAAAUAAUUAGUCACAGAGUUCGUUGUCCACUGCCUCAGGUUUCUGCACUGCAAAAAUACAUUUUAAGAUAGAUUUAAAAACUGGCUAAUGAGAUUAGCUGGCUGAUGUUUUAAUGUAAAAGGUAUGUCAUAGAAAAUGACAAUCUGAAUUGGGAGAGAAAAACAAACAUAACAAUAAGCUGAUAUGAGCUAAGAACUUUGAACACAGACUAUAUUGUUCAAGAUAUAACUGAUUUUAUUUUAAUUCCAUGACAGCAUCAUUUCACCCACUGUCUGUCUUGACAGGAGUCCAGUAAAGGUUUCUAUUUUGCCUUCUCAGCAUGUUUUAGGGAAUGAUUUGUGAUUAGGAGUACAGAUACUAUUUCAAAUGCCUCUUAAAAUAUGUGGUAUUGCAAACAACGGAUAUAAAAUGAGAUUCACACACAUAGCUUUGCUGGUGGCCAAGAACUGCGUUGCAAUAUGCCGGAAAUCCAAACAUCCUCCUACUCCCAGAGCCUUGCUGACAGAUCUACAACAACUUCUUUCUCUUGAAAAAGCUACUUACAGAAUCAGAAUAAGAAAGAGAGAAGCCUGCUAAUUCUGAGGAACUAAUGUAAUCCAUAAAAUGGGAGGUUAAAGAUUCCUCAUCAAUAUGAAGAUUGCAUUUCUUCUUGAAAAUUUUAUAGUUUCAAGUAACAUCUAGACUAUCUAAAAUUCUCACAAAAACCAAAGAGGGGAAUAUCAUGUCAUCUCCGAAAAAGGAACAACACCAAACCUUUAUGAUUGGUGUCAUUUUUGUCUUGUCUAGCCUUUUAGAGCUACAAAUCAUUGGGCUUCUGCCUUAGUACAGGGGUGUGUAUCAAUGGAACUUGGUACAGAAAUAGAACCUCAGCUCAGCAGAUCCUCCUUUCUUGAAAAACCAUUUAAAAAGGCAAACACAAGGGAAUACAAAAACAAGUAACUUUUCCAGGGAUGUGUAUUUUAAACAGCAUGUUUUGCAAGAAAGGCUGUUGUUAGAUGCUACAUAUUUUAAUUAGCUGUUUAGAAAAUCAGGUUGACAAUGUCCUUUAAUUAGUAGACAUUGACUUAUUCCACGUGUAUUAUGGCACAGUGAAUCUUAUUAAGAUAAAUGUUUCUCUCUGAAGAGAUGAAAAAAAAAUCCACUAUCAUUUGUUUGCUUACCAGAUUGCUCACCAUCAAUACGGCUGCUAUUUAAAAUGAUGAAUUUUAGUCACAUAUUUAAUUAGCUAAUAGCUGAUCUCACUGUUGGGUCUUGAUCCUCCUUACAUGUGUUCUUUCAUCCUUAAAAAGUCUUUGGUUAUAUCUUGGUUUUGAAGUUUUCGUUUGAAAUUGUCCUUGCUACUUUCAAACCUAAAAUGCAAUAAAUUAAAUUAUUAAAAGUAAAAAUUAUUGUGAAAACAUUUAAGGUUUGGAAUAUAGUUUUAUACCUUCUGCUCAUUUUAAUAUAUUGCUAGAAGCUAUGAACUUUAAAAAAAAUUACAAGUUUUUAACGUUAGAUUUUCCAUUUGCUGCAGGUGUUUAGUUUGUGAGAAAAUUAUGUGCACUUUAAAAGGCUAUAAACUAACUUAAGAUGUCAGUGCAUUUGACUGUCACUGCUCAGCCUGCAGCCUUCUCACAGAAUUCACAUUGUUUGAGGGCAACAGUGGGAAAGUGCAGCAAAUGCACUGUAGCCUAUAUUAUGUCAUGAUAAUUGUUAAAAAGAAAGCCUUAAUGGUGUUUGCAUCAAGGACAUAAAGCUCCUGUGGGUGUCACUGGUUUGGACGAGGGCUCUUCAUGGCAGAUUCUCUACUUCAGUUGUUCAUUGUAUGUGACAAAUGGUGCUUCUUAAUCCCACAGAUUAUGUUAGUGCCUAGAAUGCCGUUCAAGGGCAAACAUCCCUCCCUCUUCACAGAGGAUGACACGGAUUGGGAGUCAUGCAAGGAGCAGGGAGUUGGCCUCGAUGAUCCUUAUGGUACCUUCCAGCUUGAGAUGUUCUGUGGUUCUGGAUGAUUGCCCUCUAAACCUCUCAUUUUCUUCCUAUUUGCAGCAUUAGGUUAUUCCAACAGUACAAGGAAGAUAAGCAAGAAAAACAUAAAAAAAUCAGAAUUUUCUUUGUUAUAGAGACUGUCUUUGAAGGGAUUGCCAUGGCAGGUAUUGUGCUGCCAAGCUGGAGAUGCUGUAGAAGGUCCAGACUUGCCUGUGAAUAACCUGGAGGCAGCCUGGGAGGGUGAGGUAAAGCCAGGCUGCACCCAUUGCAGAAGGUCUGAAGAAGUUCUGCAAUAUGGGUUUGCAAUAUGAAUUUGCAGCUACACGGACGUGUACCUGCCAUGGAAUUUGCAUGAAUUCAAACUUUAUAUGUAACUAUCGUGAAAACUUGUGAGUGAACUUUCUUUGAAAGGACAUUUUGAAAUAAUAUGUGGUCAAUGAUAUGAGUUCCUAGUGGAACAGUUAUGGGCCACACGGCUCAAAAUCAAGAGAAUUUGUUUGCUGAAACCAAAGGGCAUGAGGGUGCCUAGAGCUUGGUGGUGCUGGUCACACAAGACACCACCAGACAGGGUGGGAUAUCCAUCAGGCUUGUUUUGCCACUGCCACUUCCCUCACAAACACAGAACAGCAAUUAAGUGUCAGUAUCUAUCAAAAACUGGCUGUGUUACUUAAGGACAAAGUAUUCUCUGACCUCUGGAGCAUGUCAUUGCAAAAAGAAAGACAUAAUUGACUUUUUGGAUGUGCAAUUAUUUGUUCUCACAGUUGUCCCAUAACAGCAUGGAUUAUAAACCUCACAUCUUAGGCAGGCAAAACUCAGUUUCCUUAGCCCUGCUGUUUAAUUAGUGCUUGCAACUGGACAUUGUUUAUAUCCCAAUAAAUGUUGCCUGAGUGAAGACUUCCCCUUAACCAAUUAUACCAAAUGCUUUUCUGUGAAGGUUCUAAUUAAAUAGCAUAUAUUCUUAUGUUUUCUUUAGUCGUGCCUCUUGUGUGGAUCUCUGUCAGAGUGCCAUGCCACACUGGGACAUUUUACCCACAUUUCUGUCACUUUCAUGCUCACUGGCUGGCUGCAGCUGCUCCCUUUAAAAGCUCUUGCUUUCUGUAUGGGAGGAAGGUCCUGAUGGGCAAGGCUGGUACUUCAGAAUCUAAAUCAAUUUCUUGUGCUAUAGCAGAAUCCUUAAGUGAUUGCUAAGCCACACAUGACCCCAUCAGGAGGGUGUAACUUCAGGUGCCUGAUGGGGUCAUUGCUGUAGCGUCCAAUCCUGCAGAUUCCAGCACAGAAUUUUAAGCAAAGCUGGAAUUUAUUUGGAAGCCCUCCUCUACAGAAAUUGUCAAGGUGCAGAUACUGUGCCUGGCUUGUGAGCAGCUCUGCCCCUCAUCACAAUUGUGGCACAGUUUCAGGAAUGGUCAAGAUUAGCUGUCCUGGACAGUGCUGUACCCUCUCCUUAAUCAGACCCUCAGUAUUAAGCUUCCCUUCUCCUGUAUAAUGGAACAUUUUUUUUUCUGCAGGUAAGAUUUUAAGAGCUUUUCUAUUCUAGGCCCUUUUUCUAAGAGCUGAUUCCUAAGUUGCUACCACUUUUAUGUGUGCUCAAAAUAUGAAAAGGAAAUCAGCUUCCUUUCUCUGGUACAGCAGCCGCCCUCCUAAGUGAGUCAAUGAGUUCCCAAAUGUAGUAUUUCAAUGCCACGUGAAAAAGUAUGGAGUGAGAGAUGUAUUAGUGGGAACACUGUCUCAGUGCCAAUCCUUAUGGGUCAGAGGAUUACAAAAUAAUGUAGCCCAUCUGUGCUUCACCAAAUAUCUUCAUUUAGAAGAUAAACAUGGUAAUGUAACGACAUUUUUUACUGUGUGCUUCCUUCAUCCAAACUUCAAGUGAUUCUAAUUUCAUACUAAUGCCUUAAUUUUUAAAUUGUCCUUGAUUUCAAGAUGGAUUAGUUAGUAAUUACAUUAAAUUAUUUCUGCAGAUUCUGAUCAGAUACAUAUAUACCCAUUCAUUUCCUUAAGAUCUUAAUUUGAAGAGUUUUUUAUCAUCCACAGGGUCAGGUUGCAGUGAGGGGCAGAAAGUUUACAGGCUGGAAGGGUCACUGAAGCUUUAGAAUGCAGAAAAUAUUAUGGAUACAAACCUUUAAAAGUUCAUGUGAUUUUUUUCUACAGACUCUAGGUUCAAGGUAGGGGACAGAUAAUUGGGUGUGAUUAUGUCUUUACUGGAUAUUCACUUCUCAGCACUGCUAUUAUAACAAGGGAAACAAUUUUGGUAAUCAUGGUGUUCAGGAAUAUCUAGAAUUUUGUAUUACUUGGACGAAAUUGGGAGAUUAAAGAAAAGGUGCUGUGUGUUUCAUGUCUCCAAAAUAGUGAUUUUAAAAUGUUACUGUGAAUGUGGCCUUGGGGUGCUGAUUCUCUAGCACCAUGAAAGCCAGGUCUCUGCCUAUCUCACCAGUCAGGCUGCAGUUUGGAUCAGGAGCACAAGUCCCUGAUCAUCUUGUGGACCAUCAUCAGAAAUUACAUCUUCCUUAGGGGUAUAAUGAUCUUUUUCUCUUGAGUUCUCUUUAUUUUGCCAUAUCAGGUAGUAUUUAGGACUAGAUUCACUGAACAACUCUUGUUUUUGUAUUCUUGAGGGAAUGUUGGCCUCGGUCAGUCCCAUAUUUUGCUUUGCUCUGUACCCUGGAUUCCACAGAGAAUGGGUCUAACGUGUUCUUAUCCCUUUCCUAAGCUGAUGGAGUGCUGCUAUGGGCUUGAGUUUUCCUACUGUAGUACUGUUAAAGGCAAAUGUUGAUAAUAUUUUUCACUGCAAGGACUUGUUUUGGUGGCACUGAAGGGCUUGUGGAGUAACUGGGAGUGCAGCAAUGUUCCAGUGAAGGUGGAAGGUGAACUAGGACCUCAAGGGCUGAAAGUCUUGAGCCCUCACAACAACUUAGCAACCAAAGGCAAUCAGCCUGCAGCCCCUCAGUUCAUUCCUUGGAUUCCUAAAAGGAAUAAACCCAUCAUUGUUCAUCUGUGUGGCUGACAUUGGCACAGAUUUCUUCCACUCCUAUCUGAGUACUUGUAAGACUUGUAUAUGAUAGGAGCAAAAGAGAGUUCCUUGCCACUUAGUGUGAGAAAAAAAUGCUAGGGAAGACAAGUGCAUACUAGGGUGAGCCAACUGUUUACCAUGAUCUGCUAACAAAUGUGAAAACUAAAAAUGGCCUUUCUGCACUGGGAUUUUAUCGUGUAUUAGUUGCCAUGUGUUAGUGAACAUAAGCUUAUUGCAGACUCAAGUAAAUUCCUGCCAUUUCAGUUUACCUCCUCUCUCCCAGCUGCUACAUGUAGUGAUUGUCUCAGAGAUUUGCUGCUCCUUUUUCUGUGCCACUGGAAGCUUGAGAAACCAUGAAUUUAUUUUGUGGCAGGCACUGACCUUCCUUCCUUUCCUAGUCAAACGCAGGGCAGAAGUGCACGCUGGCAGCCAAGCCCUUGUCAGCCCUGCCUGGCUUAGAGGGGCACUGAAAGAGCAAGGACGUGCACCUGAGAGAGCUCUACACCUUGGUGAUCCCUGGCUUUUACAAGCCCAGAAGGGCUUGCGGAAGAGUGGAAAAGCAAGGUAGCUUUCCAUGUCCUGGAGGCACAAGUUGUUCACCUUCCCUACAGCACAGCUGUCCUUUGCAGCCUGGGUUCCUUUGGGCCAACAGUGUCUCUGUGUAAUUACACAAUAUUGAUGCACAUCUGUGAGAACAAACCGUUAGGAACAAACAGUUCAAAAUAUCUAUAAAACAUAGAAUUAAAAAAAAAUAUUUUCAGGUGUGAAAUGAGAUGAUGCUUCGCCUGCAUGGGCACAAAUUGAUCCAAGUUUUGUGAUGAUAGUGUCACUGGUUUCAUAUCAGUUAUCUCAGCAUAACUUUUUGAUUAUUUCUGAAAUCAUGCACAGAAUGAGGGGAGAUUCAGUUUGACCUUUCCAGACUUGCUGCAUUUUAAUUCUUCCUAUGGGUAGAAAUAAUAUAGAAAAAAACCCAGCAGGUAAUAUUAUUUUUGUAUAAAGCUCUCUAAUUAUACUAUGCAUGUUCAGAAUACAUUAAAGAUACUGUCCCGACACCAAAAAAAUUUACAGUGUGCUUUUAGAUAUUACAUAACUAAUGAGAGCAAUAAAUGCUGGGAGAACGAAUGGAUCAAGGUUACAAUAAUAAGAUUAUAGGAUUCCUCCACUAUGUGUGCAUAGUUUAAAAUUCACUUCAAUUUUGCUGCCUCAGUCUGGGCUUUGGUUUGCAUUUUGGCUUUUUCUUUCUUUAUGAGAUUUAAUUUUAUCUCUGAAUCCACCAGACCAUAACAACCUGGCAAAAAACUCUGACCAGACUUUUGAUUUUCUUUCUUUUUUUCCUUCUUUUUAAAAUUGGGUUGUGCCUGCUCUGCUUGCACAGCCACCAUCGAUGUCCUGUUUGCAUCAGAACCACGGCCUUUUCUCUGACAGCAGUCACACCUGAAUGCUUGCACUACUUUAUUCUACAUGGGGAAAGAGAUACAAAAAAAGAGUAAUUAUGUGAUUUCUACACAUUUGUACUUGGAUUCUUAAAUCCCCACCUUGAAGACCCACAACAUGCACCAUGCAUGUGGCAUGUGAAGCAGACACAAAGCUCAUGCUAAUGCUCCAUCUUCUCCUUCUCAUCCAGCCUUAACAGUCACUUACAAAUGAUUUGUGAAAAAUCAAUAAUGCACCUUACUGGCUUUUUUUGUAAUGUAUAAGAAAGGGCAUUUUUUUGCCAAUUUUUUAAACACUGAAAAUAUCAGGAUUGUAAAAUUGGAUUUUUACUGAUUUUCUUUGGGGUUUCAAGAGACAUGUAUUGACAGCAGCCACCUCUAGCUGAAUCAGAAGUAUUGAAUGUAUAACACAAAUCAUUCGAUCUUCAACAUAUUUGAAUUAUCCUCAUGUUAAAAAAGAAGUGAUUGGGAAUCUUUUUUCCUUUCAAGUCUUUGCUCUUAUGU